GUCUGGUGGCUUGUCGCUGGUCCCACCUGUUAGCAGGAGAGGGGGAAGGGAAAGAAAGAAAGAGAGGAGAGGAGAGGGUUGGAUUAUUAGCUGGCAGUGUCUUGGCCUUCUAGGGAUAGCGACUCACUUGGACUGGAGUAGUUUGCCAUUUGGAAUGAGAGGAUUCGUUUUUCUGGUUAAUAGGGUCCGAAGAAAUUGUCCCUACUAAUAACUUGAGGACCUAAAUACGUUGGAGAAGCCAUUAGUUGCCCCCAUCCUCCUCUGGCCCACUGCUGCCAACCAACUUUCUGCUGGACACUUUGGAACCUCUCCCCGAGUCGGUGUUUGAUUGAGGAGACAAUAAAACCAGGAAGCUUCCCUGCCGCUCAUAAAAUAAACAGGGCCCAAACGCUUCCAGGAUAGUGCUGAUGGGAUGUCUGGA